rnacentral:rRNA from 1 species
CCUACGGGGGGCUGCAGUGGGGAAUAUUGCACAAUGGGCGCAAGCCUGAUGCAGCCAUGCCGCGUGUGUGAAGAAGGCCUUCGGGUUGUAAAGCACUUUCAGCGGGGAGGAAGGCGGUGAGGUUAAUAACCUCAUCGAUUGACGUUACCCGCAGAAGAAGCACCGGCUAACUCCGUGCCAGCAGCCGCGGUAAUACGGAGGGUGCAAGCGUUAAUCGGAAUUACUGGGCGUAAAGCGCACGCAGGCGGUCCGUCAAGUCGGAUGUGAAAUCCCCGGGCUCAACCUGGGAACUGCAUUCGAAACUGGCAGGCUAGAGUCUUGUAGAGGGGGGUAGAAUUCCAGGUGUAGCGGUGAAAUGCGUAGAGAUCUGGAGGAAUACCGGUGGCGAAGGCGGCCCCCUGGACAAAGACUGACGCUCAGGUGCGAAAGCGUGGGGAGCAAACAGGAUGAGAUACCCUAUAGUC